rnacentral:lncRNA from 1 species
UCAACCCAGUUUCGAUUCAGGUUGGGUAUGGCAUUAUUGCCAUUGUCACUUGAUGCCUUUUAAAGGCAUCAGGCGGCAUUGGGAAGGCCUAAGAAGGCUUUUCCAACGCAAUUUGAAAGCGGCUCCAAUGCUUUUCUGAUUCAGGCUAUCAAAAAAAAGAUCCAAGACUAAAUAAGGUAUGCUUCCUCUCUCCUAUCUUCUUUCCUCCUUUUUAGAUAUGCUGAAUAAGAUAUGAAUAUCUAAGAAAGGUAUUGCCACUCGACCCAAAUUUUAGAUAUCGUCAUGUAUGUUGGAUUUUAAAUAUAUGUAAUUGAUUGUAUUAUUUUUAAUUUUUACGUCACUACUUGAUUUGAAGAUAUUUUAUAUUGUUCAUUUUA